GAUGAAUGCUGGCGGCGUGCCUAAUACAUGCAAGUCGAGCGGUAAGGCCCUUCGGGGUACACGAGCGGCGGACGGCUGAGUAACGCGUGGGAACAUGCCCCAAAGUGAGGGAUAACGCACCGAAAGGUGUGCUAAUACCGCAUAUGGUCUUCGGAUUAAAGGAUUUAUCCGCUUUGGGAGUGGCCCGCGUACGAUUGGAUUGUUGGUGAGGUAACGGCUCACCAAGUCGACGAUCGUUAACUGGUCUGAGAGGAUGAUCAGUCAGACUGGAACUGAGACACGGUCCAGACUCCUACGGGAGGCAGCAGUAAGGAAUCUUCCACAAUGGGCGAAAGCCUGAUGGAGCAACGCCGCGUGCAGGAUGAAGGCCCUCGGGUCGUAAACUGCUUUAUGAGUGAAGAAUAUGACGGUAACUCAUGAAUAAGCACCGGCUAACUACGUGCCAGCAGCCGCGGUAAU
rnacentral:rRNA from 1 species